rnacentral:rRNA from 1 species
AACGAACGCUGGCGGCAGGCUUAACACAUGCAAGUCGAACGCAUCGCAAGAUGAGUGGCAGACGGGUGAGUAACGCGUGGGAACAUACCCUUUUCUACGGAAUAGCUCUGGGAAACUGGAAUUAAUACCGUAUACGCCAUACGGGGGAAAGAUUUAUCGGGGAAGGAUUGGCCCGCGGUGGAUUAGCUAGUUGGUGGGGUAAAGGCCUACCAAGGCGACGAUCUAUAGCUGGUCUGAGAGGAUGAUCAGCCACAUUGGGACUGAGACACGGCCCAAACUCCUACGGGAGGCAGCAGUGGGGAAUAUUGGACAAUGGGCGCAAGCCUGAUCCAGCCAUGCCGCGUGAGUGAUGAAGGCCUUAGGGUUGUAAAGCUCUUUCACCGAUGAAGAUAAUGACGGUAGUCGGAGAAGAAGCCCCGGCUAACUUCGUGCCAGCAGCCGCGGUAAAAC